AUGGACCACGCGUACACGCCGGCUCCUCUGCGCCAUCCAUGCCCAUCUGACGACUGCCCGCUAAGUUUGUCAGCC
rnacentral:sRNA from 1 species